rnacentral:rRNA from 1 species
ACGUAGGGGGCAAGCGUUAUCCGGAAUUAUUGGGCGUAAAGAGUGCGUAGGUGGUUUUUUAAGCGUGAGGUGAAAGGCAAUAGCUUAACUAUUGUAAGCCUUGCGAACUGGAAGACUUGAGUGCAGGAGAGGAAAGUGGAAUUCCUAGUGGAGCGGUGUAUGGCGUAGAUAUUAGGAGGAACACCAGUGGCGAAGGCGACAAUCUGGACUGUAACUGAUAGUGAGGCACGAAAGCGUGGGGAACAAGGAG